rnacentral:rRNA from 1 species
GGUUAAGUGACUAAGCGUACACGGUGGAUGCCUUGGCAGUCAGAGGCGAUGAAGGACGUAUUAACUUGCGAUAAGCCCAGAUUAGGUAGUAAAAACCAUUUGAGUCUGGGAUUUCCGAAUGGGGAAACCCAAUACCAUAAGGUAUUACUGUUGAGUGAAUACAUAGCUCAACAGGGCGAACCGGGGGAACUGAAACAUCUAAGUACCCCGAGGAAAAGAAAUCAACCGAGAUUCCGAAAGUAGCGGCGAGCGAAAUUGGACUAGCCCUUAAGCUUUACACGCGUUAGACGAACAGCCUGGAAAGGCCGACGAUACAGGGUGAUAGUCCCGUAGUUGACGACGUGUGUUCAGUGAAAUCGAGUAGGGCGGGACACGUGAUAUCCUGUCUGAAUAUGGGGGGACCAUCCUCCAAGGCUAAAUACUACUGACUGACCGAUAGUGAACCAGUACCGUGAGGGAAAGGCGAAAAGAACCCCUGUGAGGGGAGUGAAAUAGAACCUGAAACCGUGUACGUACAAGCAGUAGGAGCAGGCUUGUCCUGUGACUGCGUACCUUUUGUAUAAUGGGUCAGCGACUUAUAUUCAGUGGCAAGGUUAACCAUCUAGGGGAGCCGUAGGGAAACCGAGUCUUAACUGGGCGUUCAGUCUCUGGAUAUAGACCCGAAACCAGGUGAUCUAGCCAUGGGCAGGUUGAAGGUUGAGUAACAUCAACUGGAGGACCGAACCGACUAAUGUUGAAAAAUUAGCGGAUGACUUGUGGCUAGGGGUGAAAGGCCAAUCAAACCUGGAGAUAGCUGGUUCUCCCCGAAAGCUAUUUAGGUAGCGCCUCGGACGAAUACUACUGGGGGUAGAGCACUGUUAAGGCUAGGGGGUCAUCCCGACUUACCAACCCUUUGCAAACUCCGAAUACCAGUAAGUACUAUCCGGGAGACACACGGCGGGUGCUAACGUCCGUCGUGGAGAGGGAAACAACCCAGACCGCCAGCUAAGGUCCCAAAUUACUACUAAGUGGGAAACGAUGUGGGAAGGCUCAGACAGCCAGGAUGUUGGCUUAGAAGCAGCCAUCAUUUAAAGAAAGCGUAAUAGCUCACUGGUCGAGUCGGCCUGCGCGGAAGAUGUAACGGGGCUAAGUA